GUACCGAAGCUCUGUCACGGAGAAGGCAACAAUUACUCUCAGAAUCUCCUUCAGCCUUCAUUCUGAGUCUUCUAGAUGUGAAGAAUCUGAAGCAGGGUCUCUCCAGAUUUGUCAGAGGGUGUCCUUGUGAUCUGGGUCACUGCAUCUCUUGGGAUUUUGUUCCAGGUGUGGGAUGUCUGACAGAACUGGGCUCACAGCUCUAGCCAUGCAACCUGUUCCUCACUUCCUAGCAUGUGCCUGCUCCGGUCUCCCUGUAGCAUCAUGGGAGCGGUUCUUCCUCCACAGCCCUCACCCCAUUCUUACCUACAAGGAAUGAGAGAGAAGACUGGGUCUUAGGUUUGAGCCCAGCUUCUGGGCUGCCUUUGUGCAAUGAUCUGAGCUGUUCUUUUGUCAGUUGACACUCAAUGGACACGGCCAUGUGCCAGGCCCUCAGUAGGGGUUGGAUCCCAGGAUCGGUAGUCUGGUGUCCAAGCCUUCCACAGGGAGCUGGCCGAGUCCAGGACAAUCAGGAAGACAAAGGUGCUGAGCUCUGCCAGGCUCAUCUCAAGUUGUGACACCCCUCCUUCCAUGAACGGUAGCGACUUUCAGUCCUUGUUCCGACUACUAGCCUAGGCUUGAGCAGAGUCAGUCGAUUUCGGCUCCAUCGUGGUAUGUAUGUUGCCUGCAAACCUUAGCCUUUUAUAGACAGAUGGUCUAUCUCUGACAGCCUAGGACACCUUGUCAAGCAUUUAAAAUUAUUCAUAUCUUGUUUCAUUGUCUAUUUAUUUGACUAUUUAUUUAUUGUCUAUUUAUUUCCUCCUCUCACCCUGUCUCCUCUCCUUUCCUCUUUGUUGUGUGUGUGUGUGUGUGUGUGUGUGUGUGUAGCACCUAUGUUCUGUGCCUAGGAUCUGGAGGUUACAGGAUAACCCUAUGAAGUCAUUCUCUCCAACCACUUUGAAGGACACAGGGAUUGAACACUGUUGCUUACUCCUCCAAAUGUUUUUGCAGGUGGGGAACCUAAUGGACAAGAAGCAGUGUCAGAACUUGUUGGAGAAGUCUAUGACUGCUCUGGGGAAAUGGGAGCCUUGACCUUGGCCCACACUUGUGCUGUUCUCCUUCUUUGGAUGCCAGUCAGGACAACGAGAUCUCUGUCCCUCAGAAUUGCCUUGAGCUCUUCUGCUCCUGUGCACUGCACUCAGUGAGGAGGUUGGGAACAAGUGUAAAAUGAAUGAAAUACAGGCUCUGGAUUCUAUCAGAAACCUGCAUCACACCCCUGAAGCUCUGAGAAGCCGACAACCAGUUCAAGAACAAAUAUUCUCUGAGGACAUGAAGACAAGGGAACACUAACAAAUCCAUAUAGUCCUAUCUCCCGGAAGACAGGUCAAGCUGUUCCUGUCAGAAGGGUGGGUGAUAUGAGCCACUCAGAACUUCACUAUGAAACAGAAAGCCAAGACUCAGAUUACUUUUCCCACAGUCUUCCUCAGGCUGGUCUUAGAACUGAAGAUCACCCAGGACAUCCUCUUUUAGCUAAGUAUGAAGAACAGGGUACUUAGUGUGUUCGGGACUGCCUGGGAAGGGAUGCCCAUGGGAGGAAGAAAUCUGACCACCAGGUGGAAGGCACUCAAGUGACCCCAGAACGGUAAAAUUAAAAACCAUCGAAGAAUCAACAGUACAAUGAGAGAGAAAAGAGCCUACAAGCUGCAUGAAUUCAGGCAAGUUCUGCAAUCCUGAGGUCCACUGUUCUUUGCCAAGUGAGAGACCAUCUCUACAGGCUUUGCCAUGCAGAGACCCCUUGGACAGGCAUUCAUAUGCUGAUCAGAGACUAGGCUGCAUGACUCCCUACACUGAACACUGUGCCUGUGUCUGAGACCGAGUUAAGAUGCACUGUGUCCUUGUGAGAAAAAGGAAAACAAGGCUGAAUAAGGCCUCUCCUGAGGCUGGGGAUGCAGCCUGAGGAAACAUUCCACACAAAACAUUGAGGAGGGUCUUACUACCUCAGACACACCUCUCCAGAAACACCCUCAGAUAUGUGCCCAGUUUUCUUUCUCUUAAACAAACAGAGUUCCUGCCACAGUACCUAGAAUCCAGUCUCAACCUCAGAUGUCAUUAUUCAGGGCCCUGCUGCCCACAUUCCGGCUGUAUUGACUGGUUCUCCAGGAAGAGGUGGAUCUCUCUUGCUUGACUGCUGCUCCUUCCUUCUAAUGAUGCCAGCAGAAUCAUUAGACUCUCCAUGUGACUAUUUUAGAGUCCCUCUGAGUGAUACCAGGGCAUUUUUGGCUAUGGAGAAAUAUCCCUCCCUCUGCAAGAGUGACCCCAGGUUACCUCUAUAUGGGACCCAGAAAAAAUGCUCUACUCCCUCAGACAUUCUGUCUCAUUGCUGAGACCACCAGGGCAGGAGGACAACCCAUGAUCUGCUGAGCCAUCUGCACCUGGCAAGGCCACCCUUUCUCUACUAAAUAAAGGGCACUGGAGUCGCCA